rnacentral:rRNA from 1 species
GAUGAACGCUGGCGGCGUGCCUAAUACAUGCAAGUCGAGCGAAUGGAUUAAGAGCUUGCUCUUAUGAAGUUAGCGGCGGACGGGUGAGUAAUACGUGGGUAACCUGCCCAUAAGACUGGGAUAACUCCGGGAAACCGGGGCUAAUACCGGAUAACAUUUUGAACCGCAGGGUUCGAAAUUGAAAGGCGGCUUCGGCUGUCACUUAUGGAUGGACCAGCGUCGCAUUAGCUAGUUGGUGAGGUAACGGCUCACCAAGGCAACGAUGCGUAGCCGACCUGAGAGGGUGAUCGGCCACACUGGGACUGAGACACGGCCCAGACUCCUACGGGAGGCAGCAGUAGGGAAUCUUCCGCAAUGGACGAAAGUCUGACGGAGCAACGCCGCGUGAGUGAUGAAGGCUUUCGGGUCGUAAAACUCUGUUGUUAGGGAAGAACAAGUGCUAGUUGAAUAAGCUGGCACCUUGACGGUACCUAACCAGAAAGCCACGGCUAACUACGUGCCAGCCGCCGCGGUAA